UACGGGGGGGGCAAGCGUUGUUCGGAAUUACUGGGCGUAAAGGGUGCGUAGGCGGUUGUUUAAGUCUGUCGUGAAAUCCCCGGGCUCAACCUGGGAAUGGCGAUGGAUACUGGACAGCUAGAGUGUGUCAGAGGAUGGUGGAAUUCCCGGUGUAGCGGUGAAAUGCGUAGAGAUCGGGAGGAACAUCAGUGGCGAAGGCGGCCAUCUGGGACAACACUGACGCUGAAGCACGAAAGCGUGGGGAGCAAACAGG
rnacentral:rRNA from 1 species